rnacentral:sRNA from 1 species
UUAUAAAGUUUUAAAAAUUAUAAAUUGAAUUUUACAAGAAAUUUAAACAUUACAAAUAUAGAAAAAAUAUAUUAAUACGAGAUGAUAUAUUACAGGAAAAAUCUUAAAAAUUGGGUCGAUAUUGUAUUUUUUUAAGUUUCAAAUUUUAUAAUAUUGAAAUUUAUAAGAAAAUGACAAAAUUAUGUUUAAUUUCACGGGACUGGAUUAUAUGGUAGGACGGGUUUGGGUGGAUAAUAAUUACGAUUUUAGAAUGUUCUAUAUCGCUUAAAAAAAUUGGACAAUGGUCAAGAGCCAUACUAUAAAAAGGACCAAAAUGAUUUCGAUUACGAAUGAGCAUGAAACUUGAUUUAUGAGGUGUCCAAAAUUAAAAUGGUUUGUUUUACUAGGGUUAUUUAUUUUAAAAAAUUGAAACUUUAAAAAGUUUAAAAAAUUAUAAAUUAAAUAUUACAAGAAAUUUAAACAAUAUAAAAGAUAUUAAUACGGGACGAUAUACUGCGAGAGAAAUCUUAGAUAUAACACUCAAAAUUCAAUGAUGAAGUUUGGGUCAAUAUUAAUCUUUUUUGAAGUUUCUAAUUUUAUAAAUAUUUAAAAUUUAUAAUAAAAUGACAAAUUUGUGUUUAAUUUCACGGGACGGGGUUAUAUGGUGUGACGGGUUUGAGUGGAUAAUAACAUGGGAUAGUAUGCUAUGGAAAAAAACAUAUAAUAACAAUCAUAAUAUAAUUACAUAAUCUUAAACACUAAACAAAAUUAACAAUAUUAAA